CCACGGGAGGCUGCAGUGGGGAAUAUUGGACAAUGGGCGAAAGCCUGAUCCAGCCAUGCCGCGUGUGUGAAGAAGGCCUUCGGGUUGUAAAGCACUUUCAGUGGGGAAGAAAGCCUUGGGGCUAAUACCCUCGAGGAAGGACAUCACCCACAGAAGAAGCACCGGCUAACUCCGUGCCAGCAGCCGCGGUAAUACGGAGGGUGCGAGCGUUAAUCGGAAUUACUGGGCGUAAAGCGCGCGUAGGCGGUCUGAUAAGCCGGUUGUGAAAGCCCCGGGCUCAACCUGGGAACGGCAUCCGGAACUGUCAGGCUAGAGUGCAGGAGAGGAAGGUAGAAUUCCCGGUGUAGCGGUGAAAUGCGUAGAGAUCGGGAGGAAUACCAGUGGCGAAGGCGGCCUUCUGGACUGACACUGACGCUGAGGUGCGAAAGCGUGGGUAGCAAACAGGAUUAGAUACCCCUGUAGUC
rnacentral:rRNA from 1 species